rnacentral:rRNA from 1 species
GGCCGCGGGAAUUGGAUUCAGGCCUAACACAUGCAAGUCGAACGGGGCGGCCAUGACGGAGUUUUCGGACAACUGAUUGGUUUGCUUAGUGGCGGACGGGUGAGUAACGCGUGAGGAACCUGCCUUGGAGUGGGGAAUAACGACAGAGAAAUUUGUGCUAAUACCGCAUAAUGCAAUUGAGUCGCAUGGCUCUGAUUGCCAAAGAUUUUAUCGCUCUAAGAUGGCCUCGCGUCUGAUUAGGUAGUUGGUGGGGUAACGGCCCACCAAGGCGACGAUCAGUAGCCGGACUGAGAGGUUGACCGGCCACAUUGGGACUGAGACACGGCCCAGACUCCUACGGGAGGCAGCAGUGGGGAAUAUUGGGCAAGGGGCGCAAGCCUGACC